rnacentral:rRNA from 1 species
UGGGGAAUUUUGGACAAUGGGCGAAAGCCUGAUCCAGCAAUGCCGCGUGAGUGAAGAAGGCCUUCGGGUUGUAAAGCUCUUUUGUCAGGGAAGAAACGGUGAAAGCUAAUAUCUUUUGCUAAUGACGGUACCUGAAGAAUAAGCACCGGCUAACUACGUGCCAGCAGCCGCGGUAAUACGUAGGGUGCAAGCGUUAAUCGGAAUUACUGGGCGUAAAGCGUGCGCAGGCGGUUUUGUAAGUCUGAUGUGAAAUCCCCGGGCACAACCUGGGAAUUGCAUUGGAGACUGCAAGGCUAGAAUCUGGCAGAGGGGGGUAGAAUUCCGACGUGUAGCAGUGAAAUGCGUAGAUAUGUGAGGAACACCGAUGGCGAAGGCAGCCCCCUGGGUCAAGAUUGACGC